AAAUGGCGGCUUCAAUAUCAGCCCCACUGAGCAUGAAAUUCAUUUACUUAAAUAAAAUCUGAAUCUCAGCCCAAACCUGGGAGAUUCAAAACCUGAGAGCGGUCUUACCAAAGACGCCCGUAUGUCUGGUGAAGUCAGUUGGAUGCAAGCAGUUUGUGCUGGUACCAGGGCCCCAGCUACUGAUGAAGUGGCAGGAGUCCACGGAAGCCUACUUCGAAGUUCCCGGGGCUUCCAGGGGAGAUUGACGAGAUUCCUGGGGAGGCGAUUCAUGACAGCUGAGUUCCUUUUGGAGGAUCCGUCUUCAGGCAGUCUGAUCCCCCAGGAAAGCAGCUGGAAAACAAGAGCAUGUGAAGGAAGCGCGGCAGCUCCUCGCCAGCCAGCCAGCCAGCCCCGCACCACAGGAGUCGACAUGCACGGCAGCCUAGACGCCAUCAGUUAAACUUAUAUGUAGGCUUGUUGAGGAAAACGACUUUCAAACACAAGGCAAAAGAAAAACAUGAAACCAAGGGUUCCAACAUUCAUCACCCAGUUUCAGAGACACCCUUGUAGGAAUGCUACAGCCUCUUUCUUACCCAUUCAAACCAGUCGCUCUGCUGCAUACCCACAUCACAGGAGGCCCUCAGCCCCGACACACAGGCUCACUCAGCCCAGACACACAGGCUCACUCAGCCCAGGGACAUCAGCACCUGUGCCAGCUCCGCAAGGUAUCCACCACGUGGCCAGAACUGAGGCCCAGCAAUAGCUGAAAUGUCCUUUAAAUUAACAUGUACAACACACAACCCCCAAGAGCUGACAUCCCCAAAGCCCCACCACAAAUAGCUGACUCCUACUUAUACCUGCAGGAGCAGGUACUGACCUCUGCAAUUCUAAACCGUCCACUUUGGGCAAAAUUCAUCAAGCUAUGGAUAUGAAAAAAGGCCCCCAAGGAUAUGAUUCAUAGUCCAGCGUUUGAGUGAGCACUCCAGUCAGAACGAACUCUGCAUUGUGAACAUCUGAACAGGGUGGAAACAGACACUUGUUAGAGAUCCACUGCUGUGCGUGCACACAUACUCACACAGGAAAAGAAAAUGAGUUUCUCAGUGACCGAACACUGAAUGUGAUACAGGGCAAUGACGGACUCGCUGGCGGACUCCACUCUACCCACCGAGUUCUGCUUGUGCUCCAUGAGCUUCCGGAAAGAUGGCUGCUUGGAUAACACCUUUCCUCCUGCACACUCUACAAUUGCCUUCAUAGUGGAAAGACUUGGGCAGAUUCCAGUAAAGAAAAGUUCUCUAGAGAUGUGCUGUGGUUCACAGGAGGAAGACCUCCAGUGGCAAUGUCCAAGAAGGAAGCCAAGAGUGUACCUUAAAGAGUGGAGAAACGUGUGCCCGUUUUAAGGAUUCUUCCAAGCUGAAAGAGAAAAGUACUUCUGCCUCAGCAUCUCGGAGAAUGUAGUUCUGCUCAUCUGGAAAACAGAACAGCACAUACUCUGAAAAGUGUGGACACGUGAAGUGUGGCAAGUGUGACCCACAAAAUUCUCGUCCAUAUUCAGCGUAUGGACCAGUUUGCUGACUGCUGGGCAGGAGCAACCACAUCAUGACAGAAAUGCAGGGAUCUGUUCACCAACGGCCAGAAAUACAAAAUCAAUCCCUGAGUCAACCAGCAGAUAGAAAGGCUGCUUUUUAGGUGAAAGGAGAAAAAGAAUGUCUAAAAUUUGGAAAAACAAAACAUGAUGAAUUAAAAAAGGAACAAAAAAAGUACUGUUACACAUGAGAUGGUAUAUUUGAAGUGUUACUUUCAAAGCUGAUAUGCCUUCUGAAGAACUUGUGUGAGAUCACCAAGAAUAGUUAAUGUUUAUGACAGAGAAAACACCACCGGGCGCGGUGGCUCACGCCUAUAAUCCCAGCACUUUGGGAGGCCGAGGUGGGCGGAUCUCUUGAGGUCAGGAGUUCAAGACCAGCCUGGCCAACAUGGUGAAACCCUGUCUCUACUAAAAGAUACAAAAAAAUUUAGCCAGGCGUCGUCGUGGUGGGCGCCUGCAGUCCCAGCUACUAGGGAGGCUGAGGCAGGAGAAUGGCUUGAACCCAGGAGGCAGAGGUUGUAGUAAGCCAAUGGCACCACUCUACUCCAGCCUGAGCAACAGACUGGGUGAGACUCUGUCUU
rnacentral:antisense_RNA from 1 species